rnacentral:tRNA from 1 species
AUUUAAAUAGCUUAAGGUUGAGAGUAUUAUAUUGAAGAUAUAAGGGUAAUUUUUAUUUUUAAAUA